rnacentral:tRNA from 1 species
UAGCUCAGUGGUAGAGCGUUUGCCUAGCAAGCACAAGGCCCUGGGUUCGGUUCUCAG